GUGCUCGCUUCUGCAACACAUAUACUAAAAUUGGAACAAUACAGAGGAGAUUAGCAUGGCCCCUGCGCAAGGAUGAUACCCAAAUUCGUGAAACAUUCCAUAUUUAA
rnacentral:snRNA from 1 species